rnacentral:rRNA from 1 species
AUAUGAUACACCUGUUCCCAUGCCGAACACAGCAGUUAAGCUUUUCAGCGCCGAGAGUAGUUGGGGGUUUCCCCCUGUGAGGGUAGGACGUUGCCACGC